UAAAAUAAAAAAUGGGAGAGGGUUGGGUAUGCCGCCAGCUUUCGGUAAGCUAGCGGCAUACACCAAUCAUAGGGCUGGACACAGGAGGGUAAGAGGGUCUUUUCCAAUUGGGAGGAGAGAAGAUGACACAUGCUGGCAGCAUGCCCAGGCUUU